GAACUCAGGUCAGUUCUUCAUGUCUAUGAUGUGUAUGUCAUGUAGGAAAAAGCUGGUGUCUUUCAUCGUGGAGUCCAGAACCUGGAUAAGCUGCAGAAGAACCUGCAAGCCCCCCUACUGCCCCAUGCUCUUAAUCGUGUGCAGGAGAUGCUAUCUUUCCUCUCUUAACCUCCUUGCCUCCAGGAAAUAAAGCACUUUCCAACCAGGAACCAGCAUGAAAAGCUUUCCCUAAAUCAAUGUCAUUCCGGGAUCAUCGAUGAAUAUGCAUCCCCAGUGGCCUGUGGUCCAGGAGCUGCCCUUGUGGCUCUGGGGCAAGCUCCCCAUGAUUAUGCUAGAAGAUGAUGGGUAGAGUGGAUUGACCACAGGUAGUGUUUUGCUGUUAAUUCUGCGAGGAGACUCUGAGAGGCUUUACAUGCAUAUGACAAUUACCCUGAAAUGCUGCUCAAUGUAAUGAUGUGUUGGGAAAUGGAAAAUGCUGAGGGGGUCAUUUAGCAAUCAUAUCCUGAUAGUGUUCUUUCAGCAGAUUAUAGGUUUUUUCCUCCCUCUUUAUAGUAAUAUAUAGAAGUAAAUAUAACAACUUUUCACAGCAACAACAAAUUCAUAUUCAGAUGAAAACAGGCCUUUAUCAACUUUAAACAGCUAGGGAAAUUAUCUACGAAGAGACUUCUUUGAAGUGUCUUGAAAGUUUUCAUGGAUAAACCCCAGGGAGAUGUACAUUCCUGCUAUCUUCUCCUCAAAUACAGUGUUUGAUCUUGUAAAUUCACACAAGCAUAUAUGCCUGAGCCCAUACUUGCUUCUAGUAUUUCUUAGGAUUCUCUGUCAUGAUUACUUUGGAGAAGAAAAAAAGGAUAUAAAGGUGUGAAUUUAAAACACUUAGUUUUCUUUCAAGGCUUCCAUUUUUGUUAGAACUUGCUUAAUUAUUGAAGACUAGCUCCAUAACUGAAAAUCUGUAACUCUUAAGGAAGCCAAGCUGAAAUCUUCACUUGUUUGAAAAUGAAUGUUUUGCAAAUUUUUUCUCAACUUUUUUUAAAAAGAGGUUGAUGUUAGAAAAUUGUUAAAUGUUUACAUUUUAAAUAGUUGUACAGUUCUAUUUUAUUGUAAAUGAAUUAAUGAUGCAU
rnacentral:lncRNA from 12 species